UUUCCGUAGGUGAACCUGCGGAAGGAUCAUUAACAAAUCAACGGGAGCUAGGCAGGUUUUUGUCUGCCGGCUCCACUAACAACCUGUGAACCAGUGUGCUGUAAGAGACUUGUUGGUGGGAGUACUAGUCAGAUACACACACUUGAACUUGAUGAACAUGUAGUAGUGUUAGUAUACUUGGCCUAGCAAUCAAUCACAACUUUUAACAAUGGAUCUCUUGGCUCUU
rnacentral:misc_RNA from 1 species